rnacentral:rRNA from 1 species
ACUCCUACGGGAGGCAGCAGUGGGAAAUAUUGCACAAUGGGGGAAACCCUGAUGCAGCGACGCCGCGUGAGUGAAGAAGUAUUUCGGUAUGUAAAGCUCUAUCAGCAGGGAAGAAAAUGACGGUACCUGAGUAAGAAGCCCCGACUAACUACGUGCCAGCAGCCGCGGUAAUACGUAGGGGGCAAGCGUUAUCCGGAUUUACUGGGUGUAAAGGGAGCGCAGACGGCUCUGCAAGUCUGAAGUGAAAGCCCGCGGCUUAACCGCGGGACUGCUUUGGAAACUGCAAGGCUUGAGUAUCGGAGGGGCAGGCGGAAUUCCUAGUGUAGCGGUGAAAUGCGUAGAUAUUAGGAAGAACACCGGUGGCGAAGGCGGCCUGCUGGACGAAAACUGACGUUGAGGCUCGAAGGCGUGGGGAGCAAACAGGAUUAGAUACCCUGGUAGUCCACGCGGUAAACGAUGAAUACUAGGUGUUGGUGCCCGAAGGGCAUCGGUGCCGUCGCAAACGCAAUAAGUAUUCCACCUGGGGAGUACGUUCGCAUGAAUGAAACUCAAAGGAAUUGACGG